ensembl:lncRNA
UCAAUAGAAAAAGGCUUAACUUAUAUUUCACUUACUUUUUGCCCUUUGACAUUCACACAAUUUUCUCAUUCAACAGAAUCAAAUCCCGGCUAUCCAUGGGAAGCACCUCCACCCCUCUUCCGAACUCCCCUCCAGUAUUCCAUCAACUCAGUCCUGCCCACACCCCUAUACACUCUGGUCACAUCCACACACCUUCACGUAGCCUCAACCUCGCACAUACACCCUCCAGCAUCCACUCAGACAGAUCCCGCCACACAAUGACAGCACUCACAGGGUCCCCCAAAGGCACAAGCUCUCACAGACUCAGCCAGAUAGACCGGUCCAUGGACACACACAAUCAGCACAACACAUCUACACACACUUCCCAAUGGCCCGUCCGGAACUGGGUCCGCUCAGAGCCCCUCCCUCGACCCAGCUUUGAACCAAAGAACCUGCUCAGUCUGUUCGAUGAGACGACUUCUACGUUGGAAGGACAACCACUGGACUGAAUUGCCAUGUGUAUUAUAUAGUUCUCAGUUUCUGUUUUUAAAAUGCCUGUUUCAAACAAUUUUGUUCCCUUUUAUUAGUUAACAAGUUCUUCCUUCAAUUUGUAAUUGAUUGCAUUAAAAGAAUGGGUCAAGUGAUUAUAUACAGUAUUCCGUUAUGAACUUUUCAUGUCUUUGUAUAUUCACAAUCAACUAUUUUGGUGAUGGCAAGAAAAUGUUUAAUAGCUCAUAUUUACUGCUAUAAUCCAUGACUCAAAGCCAUUUAAAGAGAUGUUGGAAUCUUAUCCUGUCUAUUCAUACUCAAUUGAUUACAUGCGAUCAAUAGAUGGGGGGGGGUUUAUCAUCCCAAAGAUUGACUGAAUAUAAUAUAAUUGCAGUUCACACACGGCCAUAUCUCCAUGUUACAGGACUUGUUUACGGAAGACAAAGGCGGCCACCUGUGCUAAUUAGCAUGCUCUGAACACCUGCGUGUAAGCUUAACCCUUGUGUGGUGUUAAUGUUUUUGUUAGUCACCCAAUGAACCCACGGCAUUAUUGGGUUUUUAAAACCGUACAGCCGUAACAAUUU